rnacentral:rRNA from 1 species
AACGAACGCUGGCGGCAUGCCUAACACAUGCAAGUCGAACGAGACCUUCGGGUCUAGUGGCGCACGGGUGCGUAACGCGUGGGAACCUGCCCUUAGGUUCGGCCUAACUCCCCGACAGGGGUGCUAAUACCGGAUAAUGUCUUCGGACCAAAGAUUUAUCGCCUUUGGAUGGGCCCGCGUUGGAUUAGCUAGUUGGUAGGGUAAAAGCCUACCAAGGCGACGAUCCAUAGCUGGUCUGAGAGGAUGAUCAGCCACACUGGGACUGAGACACGGCCCAGACUCCUACGGGAGGGAGCAGUGGGGAAUAUUGGACAAGGGGCGAAAGCCUGAUCCAGCAAUGGCGCGUGAGUGAUGAAGGCCUUAGGGUUGUAAAGCUCUUUUACCCGGGAUGAUAAUGACAGUACCGGGAGAAUAAGCGCCGGCUAACUCCGUG